rnacentral:lncRNA from 1 species
GAGAGGGGCAGUGGGAGAAGCAGGCUCCGUGCAGGGAGCCUGACAUGGGACUUGAUCCCAGGUCUCCAGGAUCACACCCUGGGCUGAAGGUGGCGCUAAACCGCUGGGCACUGGGGUUGCCCCCUCAAUACUUUUAUUUUAUUUUAUUUUUUAAAAGAUUGUAUUUAUUUAUUCAUGAGAGAUACAGGGAGAGGCAGAGACACAGGCAGAGGGAGAAGCAGGCUCCCUUUGGGGAGCCCAAUGUGGGACUCGAUCCCAGGACUCCAGGAUCAUGCCCUGAGCUGAAAGCAGAUGCUCAUCCUCUAGCCACCCAGGUGCCCCACUAAGCCACCCAGGUGCCCCUCAAUACUUUUAAUGUCCCCCUCUUUCUCCUCUUCUUCUGGGAGUUCUAUCACUUGUACAAUGGUAUGUUUGAUAGUGUCCCUCAAGUCUCUGAGGCUUUGUUCAUUUUGCUUUAUUCUUUUUCUUCCUUGUUCUUCAGAUUAGACAGUUUCUACUAAUCUAGUGCCAAAUUUGCUGGUUAUUUUCUUCUGUCACUUCAAAUCUGUUGGGCUCUUUUGGUAAAUUUUUUAUUUCAGUUAUUGUACUUUGCAAGUCUAAAUUUUCCACUUGGUUUUUCUAAUUUGCAUCUCUUUAGUGAUAUGCUCUAUUUGAUGAUAAAUGCUAUAAUAUUUUUCCUUUAUUUUAAAAUAUGACUUCCCUUAAUUCUUUGAACAUAGUUAUAAUUCUUCUUUCAAAGUCUUUUUUCUGGUAAGUCCAACAUUUGCUCCCCUCCCAAUCCCUGAGGCAAUUUCUAUUGACUGCUUUAAUGCCCUGUGUAUAGGUCAUACUUUUCUGUUUCUCUGCAUGUUACUUUUAUGUUAAAAACUGGACAUUUUAGGGGCACCUGGGUGGCUCAGUCAAUUAAGCACCUGACUCUUGAUUUCAGCUCUGGUCAUGAUCUCAGGGUUGUGAGAUCAAGCCCCAUGUCAGGCUCUGCACUGGGCAGGGAACCUGCUUGAGAUUCUCUCUUCCUCUCCUUUUGCCCCUCCCCUAAAAAAAAGAAAAAAA